CCCUUGUUCAACCUUAAUCCAUCAAAUUGGAGGGAAAAUCAAGACCCAAAUCGAUACAUGAACAUGAAUAAACAAUCACCAAGUCAAGGGGAUCGUAAGCUUGACUUUUGACAAGCUAGGUGGAAGCUUGAGAAGAAGCGGGUCAAGUGGAACGAUUACGAUAAGAAAAGCGUAUUCGGAUGCGAGGAAUAAAAAGGGAAGCUAAAUGAGGCCGCUUUGUCUUUAUGAUGGGAACCAUGUGCGUGCAGGUGAUAAAUGAAAGUUCGGUAUUGUUUAGAGUUG